rnacentral:rRNA from 1 species
ACACGUAGGGGGCGAGCGUUGUCCGGAAUUACUGGGCGUAAAGGGUGCGUAGGCGGUCUGUUAAGUCAGAUGUGAAAGACCCGGGCUCAACCCGGGAUGUGCAUCUGAGACUGGCGGACUUGAGUGCAGGAGAGGGAAGUGGAAUUUCUAGUGUAGCGGUGGAAUGCGUAGAUAUUAGUAAGAACACCAGUGGCGAAGGCGGCUUCCUGGACUGUAACUGACGCUGAGGCACGAAAGCGUGGGGAGCAAACAGGAUUAGAUACCCUGGUAGUCCACGCUGUAAACGAUGGAUACUAGGUGUAGGUAUCGUAGGAUAUCUGCGCCGGAGUUAACGCAAUAAGUAUCCCGCCUGGGGAGUACGGCCGCAAGGUUGAA